AGCGAACGCUGGCGGCAGGCCUAACACAUGCAAGUCGAACGAACUCUUCGGAGUUAGUGGCGGACGGGUGAGUAACACGUGGGAACGUGCCUUUAGGUUCGGAAUAACUCAGGGAAACUUGUGCUAAUACCGAAUGUGCCCUUCGGGGGAAAGAUUUAUCGCCUUUAGAGCGGCCCGCGUCUGAUUAGCUAGUUGGUGAGGUAAAGGCUCACCAAGGCGACGAUCAGUAGCUGGUCUGAGAGGAUGAUCAGCCACAUUGGGACUGAGACACGGCCCAAACUCCGACGGGAGGCAGCAGUGGGGAAUCUUGCGCAAUGGGCGAAAGCCUGACACAGCCAUGCCGCGUGAAUGAUGAAGGUCUUAGGAUUGUAAAAUUCUUUCACCGGGGACGAUAAUGACGGUACCCGGAGAAGAAGCCCCGGCUAACUUCGUG
rnacentral:rRNA from 1 species